rnacentral:ncRNA from 1 species
CGCUGUUCUCAGGGCGGGGUGGAAUUCCCCACCGGCGGUAUCGGGAGUGAUCCCGGAGCCCGCGAGCGCUUCCGGCUCCAGCCGGAAGGUCAGCAGAUCCGGUGCGAGGCCGGAGCCGACGGUAUAGUCCGGAUGGAAGAGAGCAUUG